rnacentral:tRNA from 1 species
GCCCUCGUGGUGUAGUGGUCAGCGCGCUCGCUGAUGGGUAACCAAGAGGUCCGUGGUUCGAUUCCCGGCGAAGGCG